rnacentral:rRNA from 1 species
CUCUUUCUUGAUUUUGUGGGUGGUGGUGCAUGGCCGUUCUUAGUUGGUGGAGUGAUUUGUCUGCUUAAUUGCGAUAACGAACGAGACCUUAACCUACUAAAUAGUGCUGCUAGCUUUUGCUGGUAUAGUCACUUCUUAGAGGGACUAUCGAUUUCAAGUCGAUGGAAGUUUGAGGCAAUAACAGGUCUGUGAUGCCCUUAGACGUUCUGGGCCGCACGCGCGCUACACUGACGGAGCCAACGAGUAUUAACCUUGGCCGAGAGGUCUGGGAAAUCUUGUGAAACUCCGUCGUGCUGGGGAUAGAGCAUUGUAAUUAUUGCUCUUCAACGAGGAAUUCCUAGUAAGCGCAAGUCAUCAGCUCGCGUUGAUUACGUCCCUGCCCUUUGUACACACCGCCCGUCGCUACUACCGAUUGAAUGGCUUAGUGAGAUCUCUGGAUUGGCUUUGGGAAGUCGGCAACGACAUCCUAUUGCCGAGAAGCUGCUCAAACUUGGUCAUUUAGAGGAAGUAAAAGUCGUAACAAGGUUU